UUUUAGGAGGUGAUCCUGGAAUUUUGGACUUUUCAUGCUCUCAGGACACUCAGGAACUUGACUUAGAAAUAUGGUCAGCCUCAGGAGCACUUGAAACAAGCCUCUGCAUGGUGUACCAAGGGGAAAUGAUCAUGUAUGCUGUGGUUAGAUGCAUCUUCCACAAGAAAAUGUGUUACUUUGGGUGUCUCUCCCAACCAGCACUUCAGGUACAACAAUGGAAAAGCCAGACAGGCUUAAUGGGCCAUUAGCAGAGACAAUGCACUGUGAAAGAGCUUAGUCUUCCUGUGGACGCUGGAGACAGCCUAUGAACAAUGGCUGCCACGGCCAUGCAGAGAUAUGGGUCCAAGUCACCUGGUACUGAAUACCCCUCUUCCCCUUUUGGAAUGCCAGUAGUUUUCCACUAGAAGACAAAGGGUUCCCGCCUUACACAAGAGCUAUAUGAGGCACAGGAGUGACAUCAUCAUGGUCCUCCUCUGCCUCCCCACCCAAAGAGACACUGAAAAAACACCUGGAAGCAAAAACUGAACUGAGGGGAGAAGGAUAGAACCCAACUUGGAUGGGCAUCUAGCUUGUGAGUAAUAAUACCGGAGGUCUCAAAAGGAGACCAGUGCAGCUGCCUUUCAAGACUUUCUGUAAUCUGCCUGCAACAAUAUCUAGGGUGAGAAAUUCUAUUUGUAACCAAUUUCUUUAAUGAACCUAGCUUAGUUUGCGUGUUUGGUUUCAUUUGCUUAGUAAUCUGCUUUUUUCUGUCUGUUAUCUCUUAUUUUCACUUAACACACACCUUUGGUAGUUAAUACACUUAUUUCUUGUUAAUAAUAAAACUCAGUUUAUGCAAUUUCUAACUGGGCGGGCAAGAAGUGUGCACAUCUGUCUUCACAUUGAGGAGGAGGGCAGAUUUUUAUGAGCUUGUGCUGUGCAGAUUUUUCUAUAUAGCACAAUAUUAUUUUGGGUUUCUCCCCCCAAAAGGGGUGAGCACAUGAGUGCUGGGGUAGUCCUCUUACACAGAGCUGACUUCAGUCUAUGUCUGCAGAGGGGUGUGGCCCUACCUGUGUGCUGCAAGAGGCCGGAGAGCCUACUUCAGCAAAGCAGGGAGAGGGAACCCAGGCUGAUUGAGCAGGGGAGGCUUAGUUAAACCCCAGCACAUCAGGUGGCAUCCCAGAAGGGAGGGGGGGUGUCUAACCAGUCACAACAUGGUUAAACGUUUAACUGGGGAACCAGGGGUGCUGCAGCACCCCCAUGUUUUACACGGGGCCCUUGGCUGCCGGCCCCCACGCCCCAAGACCCUCCCGGCUGCCGGCCCCCAAGGCAGCAGCGGAGUUUAAUCGUUAACCGAAACCAGUAAGACUGAUGCUUAUUAGUUAAACUUUUACAUCCCUAAAAGCUUCAUGUACCUAGCUUGUCAGGGGCUGUGGGCUGAUGGCUCUAGUGCUGCUGAUGUUGGAGAUAGGAAAACCCUGACAAUGCAGCAGCUAAAAUUACAACUCACCAGCUGCUAAUCCAAUCGCUCCAGUGUGGUCAUUCACUCUCCCUUGAGCUAGGCUAGCUCUAGAGUACUGACUUUUGCAGUGAAGACAACCCUUCUGAGUGGUCUGUCAUAUCAAACUCAAAUCUAUAUAACUACUUCUCCUUGUACAUUGCUGUAUCUCAAUAAUGACCGCUGACAACUCUAGUAAAUUCAUUUUGAAUUACAGUAUAUUUACAAUUGGAUCCUUGCAGAUUAAAUAUUACACAUUUUUGUAUGAUGUACUGCUGUGCAUUUUUAAUUUUUGUCAAAAUAUUAAAAAUUUGAGUAACCCCUCCCGAA